CUGGCUGGGUGCUGGGGCUCGCCGCCCACUCACCCGGAGACUACGCUGGUCCGGGUGGGGGCGUCGCAAGGGCCGGUUCCGGUCGCAGACGAGCGGCAGGAGACCCGGUCCAGGUCGCCUGGUGUCGAGGACCCGUGUCCCAGGCGAGCCCAGGCUCGCGGUCUCUCCCACGGGUACUCCCACGGCACCACGCAGAGUGAUGGGGGUGUGACAGCCGCAGCUUGUGACCACGAGGGCAUCAUGAAGUCUCACCUGUGGCCCUCCUGCUAUGGCCCUCCUCUUGUCAUGAGCAGUUUCAUGGCCGUAGGCACCUGCAGAUGGAUGCUCUGUUGCUGGAAGUUAAAAUAAGCCUCAGUAAUACACACAGUAUCUAGUUGUAGCGUUUUCCUUUGGGGCAGGGCAUCAUUUUUCUUUUUCAGAAUUCUUCCAGGGUUAGUGGGUGUCCUCUCUGCCCAUCCAUGCGACCCCCUCACACUCUGACUCCUUGCAUCACCUCACCCUCACCCGACCGUUAUCUGCCCCUUACCCUCAUCUGAUCCUCCCCUGAACUUCACCCAACCCUGACCUGACCUUGGCCUGGCCCUCACCUGACCCCCUCACACCUCCACCCCAACUGCAGUUCCACUGAGCAGGUGACGGUACCACCCACACACCUGACCUCGUCCCUCCUUGAAGAGCUGCGCUCCCUGGCCUGCCCCGCCACCGUGCUCAGGCGGCUGCCUGCAGGCUCAGCUCCGUGCUCGGCUCAUCUCUGACGCUUUGCUGGGGACACCAAAUAAAGCAUUUCCGGAAUACGUGAUGCCACUUCAACCCUCUGCUUCACGCGCACUUGGCGCCUUCCCAGUAGCUCAGCGCCCACGGUGACACCGCCCCCCAGAAAGCCCUCCUGACCUGCAUUGGGGCUGCUCCUGGAUAUCCUGUUUAAUUAAAACGAUCCAUUGCACACCCGUCAUCUCCUCAAGCAGUGCCAACUAUCCACAGGACGGGGGAAAGGCCAAGCUUUUUCCAGAGAACUACUCGAGAGUCACCGGUUCUCCUGGAAAUGAACUUUGACUCCCUAUCCACACUGCCUUGGCAUAACAGAAAGGUGAGAGGUUCACUUGCAGUCUUGUUUUCCUGCCUAGCAGCUAAGUUUUCACCGUCCUAUAGGGCAUUAACCAGCUUGGUAUCUAACUCAUUGGUCCUGUUUUGGCAUUCCUUCUCCCACUGACUGCAUAAGGUGGGGUUUUAAAUGCUUUUGUGGAAUUAACUGUGGAAACCUCAGCCACAGCUGGAGUCUGGGAAGGCCUGUGGGGGAGCUCUCACGCCUGGUACGCUAGCCUGACUCCUAACAGGAAGCACAGCUGCCUCUACUUACUAUCCAGCAAGAGGAAGAAAUCUCUCCGCCCAGACAGCCCAGCCAAUCAGAGGCCUUCACAGACCAACCAAUGGGAAACCUUCAUACUUUGGACUCCCAGCUCCUCCAAUGGACUCUGGUUAUCACAGCCCCCUUCCCGCUCCACUCCCCUUCUCCUAUAAAAGCGAGUUCCCUU